AUCUUCAAGGUGGCUGCUACACUUGACGUUUGUCAGAAGCAAUGUGCUGUCGUAGAAUUCCUGUGCUGUGAAAACGAGACAGUGGGAAACAUCCACAAGAGGUUGAAAAAGGUGUAUGGAGAUGAUGAAAGCGGGUGCGGCAAUAUUGAGGAUUGUCCUCGCAGUGGCAGGCCUCGUACUGCACACACUCCAGACCAUGUGCAGAGAGUUAACAAAUUGGUGACUGCUGACAGACGCACCACAGUGAACGAAUUGUCAUGCUACAUUGGGAUAGGGGAAGGAAAAGUUUGCAGAAUACAGAAAGAGUUGGCGUUAAAAAGGUUUGUGCCAGGUGUGUUCCCGGGAUGUUGACAGUGGCUCACAAAGAAACACGAAAAACAGUAUGUAGUGAACUUUUGGAACUGUACAAGAAUGGUGGAGAUGAAUUUCUUGGAAGAAUUGUCACAGGUGAUGAAACAUGGCUCCAUCAUUUUUCACCAGACAAAGAGGUAAUCAAUGGAGUGGCAUCAUGCAAAUUCACCCAUGGGGGAAAAAAAAAAUCUUCUGCUGGGAAAGUUAUGCCUGUAGUGCUUUUCGAUUCCGAAGGACUCUUGCUUCUGGACAUCAUGCCAAGUGGAACCACCAUAAAUUCUGAUGCAUAUGUGACGACACUGAAGAAACUUCAAGCUCGACUGAGUCGUGUUCGACCACAUCAGCAAAAGCAGGAUGUUUUGCUGUUGCACGACAAUGCACGGCCA